rnacentral:rRNA from 1 species
CGUGGAUAAUCUACCCAGUAAUCCGGGAUAACAUCUCGAAAGAGAUGCUAAUACCUGAUAAGCCCACGAUCUCUUCGGAGAACGAGGGAAAAGGUGGGGACCUUCGGGCCUGCCGUUGCUGGAUGAGUCCGCGGCCCAUUAGCUAGUUGGUAGGGUAAUGGCCUACCAAGGCUACGAUGGGUAGCUGGUCUGAGGGGAUGAUCAGCCACACUGGAACUGAGACACGGCCCAG